GCACAAGCGGUGGAUGAUGUGGAUUAAUUCGAUGCAACGACGAAAACCUUACCUACCCUUGACAUGUCCGGAAUCCCGAAGAGAUUUGGAGUGCUCGCAAGAGAACCGGAACACAGGUGCUGCAUGGCUGUCGUCAGCUCGUGUCGUGAGAUGUUGGGUUAAGUCCCGCAACGAGCGCAACCCUUGUCAUUAGUUGCCAUCAUUUGGUUGGGCACUCUAAUGAGACUGCCGGUGACAAACCGGAGGAAGGUGGGGAUGACGUCAAGUCCUCAUGGCCCUUAUGGGUAGGGCUUCACACGUCAUACAAUGGUCGGUACAGAGGGUUGCCAACCCGCGAGGGGGGAGCUAAUCCCACAAAGCCGAUCGUAGUCCGGAUCGCAGUCUGCAACUCGACUGCGUGAAGUCGGAAUCGCUAGUAAUCGCGGAUCAGCCAUGCCGCGGUGAAUACGUUCCCGGGCCUU
rnacentral:rRNA from 1 species